CCUACGGGAGGCUGCAGUGGGGGAUAUUGGACAAUGGGGGGAACCCUGAUCCAGCGACGCCGCGUGAGUGAAGAAGUAUCUCGGUAUGUAAAGCUCUAUCAGCAGGGAAGAAGAAAUGACGGUACCUGAGUAAGAAGCCCCGGCUAACUACGUGCCAGCAGCCGCGUGAAUACGUAGGGGGCAAGCGUUAUCCGGAUUUACUGGGUGUAAAGGGAGCGUAGACGGCGAUGCAAGUCUGAAGUGAAAGGCGGGGGCCCAACCCCCGGACUGCUUUGGAAACUGUAUGGCUGGAGUGCAGGAGAGGUAAGUGGAAUUCCUAGUGUAGCGGUGAAAUGCGUAGAUAUUAGGAGGAACACCAGUGGCGAAGGCGGCUUACUGGACUGUAACUGACGUUGAGGCUCGAAAGCGUGGGGAGCAAACAGGAUUAGAUACCCGUGUAGUC
rnacentral:rRNA from 1 species